GGUUCGGUGGUGUAGGGGUUAUCACGUCUGUUUUACACACAUUAUUCCGAUGUAUGUGCACAGGAGGUCCCCGGUUCGAAACCGGGUCGAAUCA